UACGGAGGAUCCAAGCGUUAUCCGGAUUUAUUGGGUUUAAAGGGUGCGUAGGCGGUUUUAUAAGUUAGAGGUGAAAAUUCGGGGCUCAACUCCGGACGUGCCUCUAAUACUGUAUGACUAGAGAAUAGAUGCGGUAGGCGGAAUGUAUGGUGUAGCGGUGAAAUGCGUAGGGAUCAUACAGAACACCGAUUGCGAAGGCAGCUUACCAAACUAUAUCUGACGUUGAGGCACGAAAGCGUGGGGAGCAAACAGG
rnacentral:rRNA from 1 species